GCUUAACACAUGCAAGUCGAACGGAAAGGCCCUGCUUUUGUGGGGUGCUCGAGUGGCGAACGGGUGAGUAACACGUGAGUAACCUGCCCUUGACUUUGGGAUAACUUCAGGAAACUGGGGCUAAUACCGGAUAGGAGCUCCUGCUGCAUGGUGGGGGUUGGAAAGUUUCGGCGGUUGGGGAUGGACUCGCGGCUUAUCAGCUUGUUGGUGGGGUAGUGGCUUACCAAGGCUUUGACGGGUAGCCGGCCUGAGAGGGUGACCGGCCACAUUGGGACUGAGAUACGGCCCAGACUCCUACGGGAGGCAGCAGUGGGGAAUAUUGCACAAUGGGCGGAAGCCUGAUGCAGCAACGCCGCGUGCGGGAUGACGGCCUUCGGGUUGUAAACCGCUUUCGCCUGUGACGAAGCGUGAGUGACGGUAAUGGGUAAAGAAGCACCGGCUAACUACGUGCCAGCAGCCGCGGUGAUACGUAGGGUGCGAGCGUUGUCCGGAUUUAUUGGGCGUAAAGGGCUCGUAGGUGGUUGAUCGCGUCGGAAGUGUAAUCUUGGGGCUUAACCCUGAGCGUGCUUUCGAUACGGGUUGACUUGAGGAAGGUAGGGGAGAAUGGAAUUCCUGGUGGAGCGGUGGAAUGCGCAGAUAUCAGGAGGAACACCAGUGGCGAAGGCGGUUCUCUGGGCCUUUCCUGACGCUGAGGAGCGAAAGCGUGGGGAGCGAACAGGCUUAGAUACCCUGGUAGUCCACGCUGUAAACGGUGGGUACUAGGUGUGGGGUCCAUUCCACGGGCUCCGUGCCGUAGCUAACGCUUUAAGUACCCCGCCUGGGGAGUACGGCCGCAAGGCUAAAACUCAAAGGAAUUGACGGGGCCCCGCACAAGCGGCGGAGCAUGCGGAUUAAUUCGAUGCAACGCGUAGAACCUUACCUGGGUUUGACAUGGAUCGGGAGUGCUCAGAGAUGGGUGUGCCUCUUUUGGGGUCGGUUCACAGGUGGUGCAUGGCUGUCGUCAGCUCGUGUCGUGAGAUGUUGGGUUAAGUCCCGCAACGAGCGCAACCCUUGUUCACUGUUGCCAGCACGUUAUGGUGGGGACUCAGUGGAGACCGCCGGGGUCAACUCGGAGGAAGGUGGGGAUGACGUCAAGUCAUCAUGCCCCUUAUGUCCAGGGCUUCACGCAUGCUACAAUGGCUGGUACAGAGAGUGGCGAGCCUGUGAGGGUGAGCGAAUCUCGGAAAGCCGGUCUCAGUUCGGAUUGGGGUCUGCAACUCGACCUCAUGAAGUCGGAGUCGCUAGUAAUCGCAGAUCAGCAACGCUGCGGUGAAUACGUUCCCGGGGCUUGUACACACCGCCCGUCAAGUCAUGAAAGUUGGUAACACCCGAAGCCGGUGGCCUAACCGUUGUGGGGGAGCCGUCGAAGGUGGGACUGGUGAUUAGGACUAAAU
rnacentral:rRNA from 1 species